CAAAUACUCCCUCUGUCCGAAAAUACUUGUCAUCAAAAUGGAUAAAAAGAGAUGUAUCUAGAACUAAAAUAUGUCUAGAUACAUCCCCUUUUAUUCAUUUUGAUGACAAGUAUUUCCGGACGGAGGGAGUAGUAA
rnacentral:pre_miRNA from 1 species